rnacentral:misc_RNA from 1 species
CGGAAGUAAAGGUCGUAACAAGGUUUCCGUAGGUGGACCUGCGGAAGGAUCAUUAAAAAAUAAUCACUUGAUUGAAAGUGAUUUAAUAAUCAUCCUACCCUUUGUGAAUUGGUUGUUUGAAUAAUUUUUUUUGACUGGAUAAAAAAAAAAAUUAUUUAUGGUUUUGUCUAUCCUAAAUUGGUUUGUUGUGUAAGAAAUGAAUCAUUUAGGGAAUAGGCUUUCCUAAAUAAUGAUUUUUUUUAAAGUCUUAAAGACCUUUUUUUAAAAUUAACUUUGUAUUCAUUUGUCUAAAAUUUUUUUUAAAUAAUUUUAAAAAACAACUUUUGACAAUGGAUCUCUUGGUUUCUCGCAACGAUGAAGAACGGCAGCAAAAUGCGAUAAGUAAUGUGGAAUUGCAGAAUACGUGAAUCAUCAAAUCUUCGAACGCAUAUUGCACUUUUUUUAGUUUUACUAAAAAAAAGUAUGUCUGUUUGAGUAUCAGUAAAAUAUUCUCAUAAAAACAUUUUUUGUUUUUAUGGUUAUGAGUGUUUUACAACGGUAAACAAGUUUUUUCACUUUAAAUUCAUUUUAAUUUAAGACCAUUUUUGGUUUUAAUAAAAAUUGGAUAAAAAUUUCCCGUAAAAAGGAAUAAACUUUUCAGUUUUUUUAAUUAUUACCAACAAACGGUCCGAUUUAAAAGGAAAUUUAUUUAAAAUAACUUGAUCUCAAAUCAGAUAAGAAGUACCCGCUGAACUUAAGCAUAUCAAUAAGCGGAGGAAAAGAAACUAACAAGGAUUCCCUUUAGUAACGGCGAGUGAAGCGGGAAGAGCUCAAAUUUGAAAUCUUCAAGGUUCUACCUUGAACGAAUUGUAGUUUAAAGAAGUGUUUUCUGUUAGAUGAGUAGCAAAAGUUCCUUGGAAUGGGACAUCAUAGAGGGUGAGAAUCCCGUAUUUGGUUAUUCAUUCUAGCUUUGUUGAUACACUUUCAAAGAGUCGGAUUGUUUGGGAAUGCAGUCCAAAAUGGGUGGUAAAUUUCAUCUAAAGCUAAUAUGGCGAGAGACCGAUAGCGAACAAGUACCGUGAGGGAAAGAUGAAAAGAAACUUUGAAAAGAGAGUUAAACAGUACGUGAAAUUGUCAAAAGGGAAAGCGUUUGACACCAGUGUUGUUUUUCCAAAAAUCAAUUACGAAUGGCUUGAUUUUGUGUUGUAUUGGCCCUUAUCAGCUUUCUUGCACUUUUUUUUCGAGUCUUUCUUAAUGCCACUUUUUCGGUUAAACAAGUUCAACAUCAAUUUCUUUUGUUGUAAAAGAGUAUUCGGAAGGUGGCUUUCUUUUCGGAGAAAGUGUUUAUAGCCCUAUACUUCUACAAUCGGAGAGAUUGAGGUCUGCAGCGUAGAUCCCUCGGGGUUAGAUACACUUGUGCUAAGUUGUAGCUUUUCAUAGACAACUUGUUGACUAUGUUUAGUCAUGCGGCUUACUCGCUUGUGCUAUUUUACCUACGCUUAGGAUGUUGAC